rfam:Schistosoma rodhaini strain Burundi genome assembly, scaffold: SROB_scaffold0002989
AUCCAGCUGAUGAGUCCCAAGUAGGACGGAAAACGCGUCCUGGAU